UAAAUUCUAGAUCUCUUCUAACCACAUCGCUCACUUCCCCUUCACCAUCAAUCUAUCAAGCUCUCGAACAGGGGUCGGACGACUCACUUCAGGGUGCCGCCAAGCUUGGGUAGAGUCUCUGUUGUGUUCUCCUCUCUCAGAGCAAUCUCUUCUCAUCCUCAAACGCGAGGCGAUCUGUUCGGCCACAAGGAAACACAAGGAGAUGAUGAGAUAAAGGCUGAGUUUUUGUGCCCCUUUUGCGUGAAAGAUUUCAUUUUCGUCGGGGUGUAAUUUUGCAAAGAACAAGGUAUAAU